AUACUGAGAAGAAUAUUUAUUCUUUGGAAGAGCGUAUGAUUGGAAAGUAUUUGAUUGGCAUGAGUACUGCAGGCUUUAUUUUCCUUCUGUUGAUUUUCCUUUGGGAGACUACUUCAUGGAGACUAAGAACAUUCCUCAAUCAAUACAUUUACUUUGGUAUCUACAAGCGAUACAGGAAGGGUAUAGUGUCCAAGGAGUUAUCUGGGCAAUCUGAAGAUGACGACGUACAAAACGAAAGAAAGAGAAUCCUGGAGCAGCCUCAGGAGUUGCUGAAUUCCAUAGUACUUAUUAAAGAACUCAUAAAGAUAUAUUUUAAGUGUCCAGCCAUUCUGGCUGUAAAAAAUAUCUCCCUUGCAGUCCAAAACGGGGAGUGCUUUGGAUUGCUUGGAUUCAAUGGAGCUGGAAAAACAACUACUUUCCAAAUUUUUACUGGGGAAGCAAGUCCUACCUCUGGAGAUGUGUUCAUUGAUGGCUUUAGCAUCACAAAAGAUAUCCUACAGUUGUUUUGGAGAAUCAUGUAGCGACAGAUGAAGAAGAACCUGCUUUGAAACGCCAGCGACUAGAAAUCAAUUGCCAGGAUCCAUCUAUAAAGUCAUUCCUGUAUUCCAUCAACCAGACAAUCUGCUUGCGGUUGGAUAGCAUUGAAGCCAAAUUGCAAGCCCUGGAGGCUACUUGUAAAUCCUUAGAAGAAAAGCUGGAUCUGGUCACGAACAAGCAGCACAGCCCCAUCCAGGUUCCCAUGGUUGCCGGCUCCCCUCUCAGGGCAACCCAGACAUGCAACAAAGUGCGAUGCGUCGUCCCCCAGACUACAGUAAUACUCAACAAUGAUCGGCAGAACACCAUUGUAGCCAAGAUGGAAGACCCCUUGAGCAACAGGGCACCGGAUUCCCUGGAAAAUGUCAUUAGCAACGCUGUGCCUGGGCGUCGGCAGAAUACCAUUGUGGUGAAGGUGCCGGUCCAAGAAGACAGCCACCACGAAGACGGGGAGAGCAGCUUGGAGGCCAGCGACUCUGUGUCCAGCUAUGGACAGGCGGGCAGCCAGAGCAUUGGGAGCAACGUCACCCUCAUCACCCUGAACUCAGAAGAGGAUUACCCCAAUGGCACCUGGCUGGGCGAUGAGAACAACCCAGAGAUGCGGGUGCGCUGCGCCAUCAUCCCCUCCGACAUGCUGCACAUCAGCACCAACUGCCGCACAGCCGAGAAGAUGGCACUCACGCUGCUGGACUACCUCUUCCACCGCGAGGUGCAGGCCGUGUCCAACCUCCUGGGGCAGGGCAAGCACGGGAAGAAGCAGCUGGACCUGCUCACCAUCUAUGGCAUCCGGUGUCACCUUUUCUAUAAAUUUGGCAUCACAGAAUCUGACUGGUACCGAAUCAAGCAGAGCAUCGACUCCAAGUGCCGCACGGCGUGGCGGCGCAAGCAGUAGGGCCAGAGCCUGGCGGUCAAGAGCUUCUUGCGGAGAAUGCCCAACUCAUCCUCCUACUGCCCCUCAGAGCCGAUGAUGAGCACCCCACUUCCUGCCAGGGAGCUCCCGCAGCCACAGCCGCAGCCGCAGGCCCUGCACUACGCGCUGGCCAACG